GGGUAAGAGCAGCUCCCGUUUCCUGGGCAGGAGUGACCAGGGGGUUUUAUGAGAAAAGUAUUCUGGUCACCUUCAUUCAUUUGAAUUGUGCUGGAAGUUAAGAAAGCAAAGGAAUGGGUGAGAGUGGGGGCCAGGAGCUGCCAGCCCAGCGGCGACAGGCCUGGGCGUGCUGGUCGUGACGCCAGAGGUCAGGGGAGAACGUGUAGGGAACAGGCCCCCCAGGUGCUCCACUGCUGUUCAGCUCCCUGGAACCUGUUUCUUUUUUUCACAUUCUUAUGAAAUGUUCUCAACGAUAAUGGCAAGAACAAAAAGAGAAGAAAGGCCAGGUUUAGUAAUACGGUGGGGACACAGCCUCUUGCGUUAUUCGCAGCUGCAAGGGGCAGAGCAGGCUGAGCAGAGGGACUUGCUGGUGUCCUUGUGUGUCCAGGGCUCCCUGUGCACGUGAAGUUCACGUUGGACGUGGGGCAGUCAUGUGAGGGAACUGGCUUUCUGCCCCCAACGCCCUCGACCUACAGAAAUUCUCUCCUCUGGGUUUCACGCAUCCAGUGCCUGCAGGGCUGCAGAACCUGUGACGGUGGCCAGGGAGUGACGUGGUGCCAUGACGAUGUGUUUGGGUGGCUUUGGCAGUCGGUACAGUGUUCCAGGACAGAACUGGUGUACACAUGUUAGCAGUGGUGGUAACAGUUAUUCGCAGGAGACAUGAUUUCUCUUUGUUUUUGAAUUUAUACUCAGUAUCGUUAUCAUUGCAGUGUUUUGUAGCUGGAUGUUGAGAUUACUUCCAGGCGCUUAGAGCUCUCAGGACACAGGUGUAUGUCCACGGCCUCUCUGAAUAGCCGCUCUUAUCCAGGCGUCCAUGGGUCCUUGUCCUUGGGUGGGACUCAGAGCCCUUGUGCACUUGGAUGGAGAAAAGAUAGCACUUUGAUCUCUGAGCGCAGUGUAGCCUUUCCUUCGGAGGUGGAAAUACAGCAUCUGCUGUACGCCUGUCACCAGGAAAUCACACGCAUUUUCAUAUCGUAUAUUUGCAGCUCUCCUGAAGUACUGUAUACAUGUGUCACUAUGAAACGCUGGCAGUCACUCCACCUAUCACUAGCUCUGGUCAUUGACUGCAUCCAUAAAAAGGGACAUAUGUUAUUACAGCAAUAUAUGUUUGAAUAGCUUCAUAACUGUAUGUCAGUUACUUUUCUGCAUAUGCCUGCGUAGUUUACCAUAUUCUGAGCAGGCUGCCCAAGGAGACUGAGGCACAAAUAAAGGUUAAGAAGCCCUUCAGGGAUGCAGUCUCAUGCGACACAAAUCUAAGCAGAUAAAGUCACCAGGUGGUGAGUGGCAGCUGGAAAUACACCCAGGGACCACACGGGGACCCCAGGGCAGCUUCUGUGGAUUCCUGAGCUGCCCCUGGAAUGAAGUAUGAGGAGGAGAAAGAAGCAGGAGGUGAGGGAGCUGGGGCACGAACCCUCAGACCCCCGUGGAAAUGAGGGGUGCUGCUGAGUCCUGGGGGCUCAAGAUGAGUCAGACACAGAGAGGUGGCCGGUCCCUCACUUUUCAGGGCACUGUUUAUGGGGACAGGUGGACAGGAUGCAAUUUCCUUGAAAAAGAUCCAGUGGUGCAGUAGAAUUUUCUAAGACAGUUUCCUUGAUGCAUAAUUCACAUGCAGUAAAUGCAGGUAGACGGUGGGUGACACAGUUUGCCCUGUGAGCAUGUCACAGCCAUGGGAUGCUUUUGGGCCUGGCUUCUUUCACUCAGCAUAACCCCUCUGAGAUCUAGCCAUGCGGAUCUUUUCCUGUUGUGUCAUCUUUAUUAGAAAACUGUGUACUUUGAAAGGGGGAGAAACAAGCCCUUGUUUUCAUAGUACGGAAUUCUAAAAGAGAGGGAGAUUUCUGUGCUUAUCACACGGGAAUGUGGGUUGAAGAUUGCGGCGAAGGGCGGCCCUGGCCUGUGGCCGGAGUGCAUUCCAGUCCGAGGCUGACCAUCCCUGCUAAAUGUGAAAUACUUCAGACCUGAAAGCAGGCCGCUCCCAGGACAAGCUUUGCCGCCCUGGGGGCUUUCGAUCUCUCUCCAUCUCUCAGAUGAGAGGAUUUGGGAAGGUGUCCUGACAGCGUGCCGUGUGCCGGCUGGUUUCCUUAAGCCUCCUCAUCUGGCAGCUAAGGGGAACACAUUAUUUUCCACGUUCCAUAAAUGGACACGAGAGACAGCCAGUCUGAGAGAAUUACUACCCAAGAACGGGGUGAGUCGGGGACCCACAGGCCUGAAGGGCUCGUGGCUUCAGAGAAAAUAGUCAUUUCACUUUCACUUUUGCUCUUGUUUGGGUGGUGAUGAAUCUCUAAACUGGAGGAGUUCAGGUUUUCUUUUCCUUCCUUCUUACCACAUUCCCCUUUCCACUCGGUAAGCGUCACCAUCUCUGUGGAUCCAACAGCCGAAAGCCUGUUUUGUGCCAGGCUCUUUUCCAGGUGCCAAGGAGACAGCGUUCUGGAUAAAUCCUGGGGGUGACUGUGGAGUGGGUGGGCCAGAAGCACCAAACGGGAAUGAAACAGUGUUUCUUACCCUCUCUCGGGUCACGGAGGAUUUGAGAGAAUCUGGUGAAAGUUACGGGAAAUCUCUCCCAGAAAGAUGCACCUAUGUGCUCCACAGGCAGUUGUGCGAUGCUUUCUGAGUGUUUGCAGAGGCCUCGGAAGCUUGCCUGUAGGAAUGACCUCGAGGACGGGCAGGUAUGUGGAGCAGGAACUUCUUCAGAAGACAGAGGAGGCAUAUGUCAGUGAGCAGCUUUCCGGAGGCCUGUCUGCUUGCUGUCUUCUUCUCUCCGUUUAUUUUUGUGGUGUGUGUUCCUCUCAGUGUCCUUGGUCUGCUCGUUAGCCUGUUUCUUAAAUGCAGAGGCUCCCAGGACCCUACCCUCUUGGGCCCCUUCUCCCAAACCCCUUCUUUUCCCGUCAGUCACUGAAAGCCAGCAUGUGGUGAGGGCUGGGCAGGUGCCAGGUGUGGUGUUGAACAUUGUCACAUGGGAUUCCAGGACAGUCCUGUCACUUAGUGAUUAAUGUCUUCAUUUCACGGAGGUGGAGACUCAGCAAGGGAAGUACUUGCCCAGGAGCAGAGGCCCUGGUGCCAUCUGUCCGUCACCCAAUGCUGCACCAUCGGCUCCACCUCCCUCCCCAGCUCCCCACAGCCCAGCCAUUACCCAGCAUGUAUUUCUGCGGGGUUUCCAUGGACACCCACACUCAGCAUGUCAGAACUCCCCCAUACCUGCUCCCCAUGACAUUAGGGAGACCCUUAGUCACCCUAAAAUGUGGGUCUUUUUCUUCUUGACGGUGGCAUUUUUGGUAACCCCCUUGGUUAUAUGCCAAAGAGAAAAUCAGUGGUCACUGUCAGGUCCUAUGUUCCAUGUGUCACACUGACCAUUGUCUCCCAAAGGGUCUUGAAAGCCCUACGUGGCCAGAACGGGAUGAAGGGUGAGAAGACUGACGUGUGCUUUCUGCUGGUCUGGGGUUUCUCAUUACUUUGCAAAAGCAAAACACUCCACCAUCCAGGACAUUUCUCGCCUCAACCUGUGACGGCCCACGGCGUCAGAGCCAUAACGUCGGCAGAACCGGCCAGGCCGGCACCGCCCCGGUGUCUGUGGAAUGGUGGUCAUGUGACCGGACAAAGGAGUGGUCAGAGUCCAAAUCCCAAACACUUGCGUGAGGAGAGAAAAGCCUGCGUCUUCUGUCCUUUCACUGCCACUUCCAAGCUAAGAAGGGAGAGAAAGGCAGCACCCUUCCCAGGCAGGGGGGAAAGCUGUGUUAGGAGAGACUGUUGCAAUGAUUCCUACCACGUUAGACUUUUCCGAGAGCUUUUCAGUUACUCAACACUGACGUCUCACUGAAAUCAAAGUAAACGGGGAUCACAUCAACCUUUCUCAAGUUUUUAUGUUUUCGGUAUUUUUGGCUCAUCCAAACCUUUGUCUGCCGCUCAAGCACUGAGUCAGACCUCCGAAUGGCAAGCGUGGUUUGCUGCAGAUGACACGUGCAGUCCCCGUUCACGUGAGAGGAUGUGGGGGCAGGGCUCCCGGGCUCCUCCAAAGUCAGCGAGGCAUCUGUGGGAUUUGCUUGUAGUUUUCAGGAAACAAGGUGUCACUUAGGACAGUUUCCUGUCAUAAAAAAUUCUCUAAUUUGGUUUUAAAAUAGCAGCUUCUGAUGUUGUUGACUCAGAAAUCUAUAGGAAGUCUAAAAUUGUACAUUUUUUAAUUUUCUUUCUUUUAUUUGGUGAAAGAAUUUUCCACAGACGAGCAGUGAGCUGUUUCUGUCCCUGGCAGGGCAUAAUGAUGUGUGUUCAUUCAUUCACCACACGCACACGUGACGGCCACCUGACAUUCAAAGCAGGUAAGCUGGUGAUUUCAGUGACGGUCCCAUGUCCAGAAACGCGUCCUCCUUCCUCAGGCAUGUCCACAGCACCCCCUCCGGAGCCGCUCACCCAGCCGGCCUGCACUUAGACUCUGUGGCCACCAAAGAGUUUUUUACCCGAAGCUUCUUUGACUUGUACCUCCUCACAAGCUCACCCUGAAGAACAGAGCUAAACAUUUCUGGACAGAUCGACAAAUGACUUACUUUUAUAAGUAAAACAUAGUUUGUCCUUAGUUUCUUUACAUAAAGGAUCAGGAACACAAAUGCUUUGCAACAGUCUUUUCCAUGUGAUUAAAGAAGUUAGAUGUUCAAGAUGCAACACCUAAUCCCAGAGUUCUUAAGGGAACACCAGCCAGGCAGGAGGAGUGGCUGUCUGUGAAAGGGGAGCCCCAGGAGGGGCAGUGGGGGGAGCUGACGGUGAUGGUGGUGAUGCUGAAGCUGGCGCUGUCCAAGAGCCGUGGUCACAAGACCCAGUCCUCAGGGUCUCACAACCCACCUGCCUUCUUUUACUUUUUUUUUAAAAAAAUUUGUUGUAGUAUAUAAGACAAAAUUCUUGAAUUUAACCAUUUUCCAGUGUACAGUUCUGUGGCAGGGAGUGCAGUUACAGUGUUGUGCAGCCAGUUCCAGGCCGUCUUCACCACCCCGAGAGGAAGCCCCGAACGCAUGACGUUGUCUCUCCCCCUUCUCUGCUUCCCGCAGCCCCUGCUUGCGGUCUGUGGGUUUGCCUGUUGCGGGCCUUUCAUAGAGGUGGAGCCGUCGUCUGUGGCCUUUGUGUCUGGCUUCUUCCACUCGGCAGAAUGUCUUCAGGGUCCCUCCACGCUGUGAUGCGUGUCUGGCUCACUCCUCUUCACGGCUGGAUGAUAUUCCAUCGUGUGAUGGACCACAUUUCAUUUACCCACACAUCCAUCGGACAUCUGGGGUGUUUCCACCUUCUGGCUGUUUGUGAAAAAUGCACUGCAAACAUUUGGAUGCAAGUUACUAACUGAACACCUGCUUCCUGUUCUCUGGGGUCUGUACCUCGGAGUGGAAUUGCUGGUCAGAUGGUAAUUCUAUGUUUCACUUAGUGAGAAACUGCCAAACUGGUUUUCUCUUGCUUUCUGAAUGCUUUUCCAAAAAAAUCACCAUAAUAUUGAUAUUCCAAAAUCAAUUAAGGGAUGGUUAAAAAAUUGUUACAUUUCUAGACUGAAUAUUAAAAACCUUAAAAGGUGUCUCUGAGGCCAAAAUUCAUUCAGAACACUUUGCUAAAUCAGCGAGGAAGCACAAGGCACUUACUGCAUUUAUUUUCUUCUGCUGUAGUCGGCUCCUUCCUAAAACAUUCGCCGUUUAUAAAAUUCAGCAUCUCUUAAGAGGAUGGUUAUAAAUAGAUUAUACUGUCACGGCCCACGUUGGUUUUAUACUUUUUCUGGGUCAAAUGCAACCUCUCUAAUCUCUUUUGUGAUUUGGUUAAAUGCAGAUUAAUCCAAGGCAAAUCUGAGUUAGUUACUCAUCUUUUUUAUGUUGACUUUUGCUUCAAUUUCACGGUUGCCCAGGGCAGGGUAAGAGAGAACUGAAAUGAUUACAGAUGAUAUUACAGAUGAGGCUGACAUUUCCCAACAUCAAAUUGGCUGGUGAUGCUCCCUGUCCCAGCUUAAAGGGAACAUGAUGGAUGUCCCACACAACAGUGAGCUCCACUGUGGACCUACCCGUUCCUAUGUGGCCAGCUCCCAGCCCUCAAUCCCGUUCUGAUGGCCCAGCCUCCUCCGUGCUCCCAGGAUUUGGGCAAGGAUUUCAGGGGCUCUUCUCCACAAGAGGUCUGCUCUCACCCAGGGCUAAGAUCCCAAAUGUUUAACCAUCAAUAUGGCACAGGCCAGUCUGCACAGAGGACACGGGCCAUCAUGUGAUGUAGCAGGUUUCUGUUUAAUAACUGCUUACGUGUUUUCAAUGCCUGGAAAUGACGUUAGAAGCCAAAUCUGUGGAAUGGGGGAGGAGGGUCUUCUCUAGCAGCAGUGGAGUAGGUUACCAGGUGGCAAGACGGUGUGGGGUUGCCCUCAAUUUCCUGGUGUUGACGUCUCACUUCUGCAUCAGCCCCUGCCCUGUUCUCAGACACAGGAGCAGAGGCUUUGCGUCUGAGGUUAGCGGGCCUGUGCUACCCGGCCAGCCCUGAACAAGCCUCUGGGCUCACGUCCCUGACCACUGGGCUCUGGGCUUCUGGGCCGCCCAGUUCUGCCUCGUGCCCACUGUGCCCGGGCCUUGCCCAGGGGUCCUGAGCCCCUGCGGUCACGCACAUGGGCCUUCACCUUGCUCUGCUCCAGGCACCUCAGCCCGGCUGAGAUUGGAGCUCUGCCUGUUAUGGAUGUGUUAGCAACAUGAAUCGUUUCUCUGUCCUUUUCCAGAUGAUAAAAAUAAUGUAUGCUUAUUGCAGAAAACUUGCUAAAUACAAAAGAAACUAAAAAAUCGCCAUCAUUCGUAUCUCCCAGUGGUUACCACCAUUAACAUACAGAAUUUUUCCAGUGCGUGUAUUUUUUGUAAAGAAAUGGGAUAAUAUUCUUUAUGUAGCUUUGUCUUUUACAAAUAUUUUUUCUUUCAGUACUACUGAGAGGUAACUGACAUACAGCACUGUGUAAGUUUCAAGUGCACAGCAUAUUGAUUUGACCUCCCAUGUGCUGUGAAAUGAUAACCACCAUAAGCUUAGUUAACAUCCAUCAUCUCAUACAGAUGAAAAAAUGUUUUGUUUUUCCUUGUGAUGAGAACUAGGAUUUACUCGCUUAGCUACUUUGAAAUAUACUAUACAGAAGUGUGAGCCACAGACGUCAUGUUGUAUGUGUGUUUUCCUUAACAUUAAAUU